rnacentral:piRNA from 1 species
UGUGUUGGAUGGAGUUUUGUUGGGAC